AGUACUGGGCGUCAUCUAGAAGCUCAACACAGACGAACUCACCUUCAACCUCAACUUAGCUCCAUUACGAAACCA